rnacentral:rRNA from 1 species
CAGUAGCCGCGGUAAUACGUAGGGUGCGAGCGUUAAUCGGAAUUACUGGGCGUAAAGCGUGCGCAGGCGGUUGUGUAAGACAGGUGUGAAAUCCCCGGGCUUAACCUGGGAACUGCGCUUGUGACUGCACAGCUAGAGUAUGGCAGAGGGGGGUGGAAUUCCACGUGUAGCAGUGAAAUGCGUAGAGAUGUGGAGGAACACCGAUGGCGAAGGCAGCCCCCUGGGCCAAUACUGACGCACAUGCACGAAAGCGUGGGGAGCAAACAGGAUUAGAUACCCCGGUAGUCCCUGUCUCUUAUAC